rnacentral:rRNA from 1 species
UACGUAGGGUGCAAGCGUUAAUCGGAAUUACUGGGCGUAAAGCGUGCGCAGGCGGUUAUGUAAGACAGUUGUGAAAUCCCCGGGCUCAACCUGGGAAUUGCAUCUGUGACUGCAUAGCUAGAGUACGGUAGAGGGGGAUGGAAUUCCGCGUGUAGCAGUGAAAUGCGUAGAUAUGCGGAGGAACACCGAUGGCGAAGGCAAUCCCCUGGACCUGUACUGACGCUCAUGCACGAAAGGCGUGGGGAGCAAACAGGAU